rnacentral:rRNA from 1 species
CCUACGGGGGGCUGCAGUAAGGAAUAUUGGUCAAUGGACGCAAGUCUGAACCAGCCAUGCCGCGUGGAGGAUGAAGGUCCUCUGGAUUGUAAACUUCUUUUAUUUGGGAAGAAACUCCCGAUUUCCAUCGGGAUUGACGGUACCAGAUGAAUAAGCCCCGGCUAACUCCGUUCCAGCAGCCGCGGUAAUACGGAGGGUGCAAGCGUUAUCCGGAUUCACUGGGUUUAAGGUGGGCAUAGAUGUCCAUGUUGAAAUCUCCGGGCUUAACCCGGAAACUGACAGUGAUACUAUGUGUCUUGAAUACUCUGGAGGUGAGCGGAAUAUGUCAUGUAGCGGUGAAAUGCUUAGAUAUGACAUAGAACACCCAUUGCGAAGGCAGCUCACUACGGAAAUAUUGACGCUGAGGCACGAAAGCGUGGGGAUCAAACAGGAUUAGAUACCCCAGUAGUC